rnacentral:RNase_P_RNA from 1 species
GUAGUGGGCCGGAUGGCCGCCGGCCGAGACCCGUUCAAGCCGCCAUAUCGGCUUUGUGGGUUUCGGCGGGAGGAAAGUCCGGGCUCCGAGGGACGCGGUGAUGGGUAACGCCCACCGGCCGUGAGGCCAGGGAAAGUGCAACAGAAAGCAAACCGCCGCGCGAGCUUCUCGCUCGCGAGGUAAGGGUGAAACGGUGAGGUAAGAGCUCACCAGCGGGUCGGGUGACCGGCCCGGCUAGGCAAACCCCACUGGGAGCAAGGUCAAACAGGGAGCUGUGCCGCUUCGUCGACCCCAUUGGUCGGCUGAACGGCCGCGGGCUGGUCCGGUCCGUUGUCGACUUCCGGGUAGACUGCUCGAGCGGCCGAGUAAUCGGUCGCCUAGAUAAAUGGCCAUCGUCCGACCGGCUUUUUGACGGUCGGAAACAGAACCCGGCUUACAGGCCCACUAUUCCU